rnacentral:rRNA from 1 species
AUUGAACGCUGGCGGCAGGCCUAACACAUGCAAGUCGAGCGGAUGAAGGGAGCUUGCUCCUGGAUUCAGCGGCGGACGGGUGAGUAAUGCCUAGGAAUCUGCCUGGUAGUGGGGGAUAACGUCCGGAAACGGGCGCUAAUACCGCAUACGUCCUGAGGGAGAAAGUGGGGGAUCUUCGGACCUCACGCUAUCAGAUGAGCCUAGGUCGGAUUAGCUAGUUGGUGGGGUAAAGGCCUACCAAGGCGACGAUCCGUAACUGGUCUGAGAGGAUGAUCAGUCACACUGGAACUGAGACACGGUCCAGACUCCUACGGGAGGCGACAGUGGGGAAUAUUGGACAAUGGGCGAAAGCCUGAUCCAGCCAUGCCGCGUGUGUGAAGAAGGUCUUCGGAUUGUAAAGCACUUUAAGUUGGGAGGAAGGGCAGUAAGUUAAUACCUUGCUGUUUUGACGUUACCAACAGAAUAAGCACCGGCUAACUUCGUG